CGCGGGAAGCAAGCGGAUCCCCUUCGGGGGUGACGCUUGUGGAACGAGCGGCGGACGGGUGAGUAACACGUGGGCAACCUGCCUGUAAGACUGGGAUAACCCCGGGAAACCGGGGCUAAUACCGGAUAACACCGGACUCCACAUGGAGUCGGGUUGAAAGAUGGCUUCUCGCUAUCACUUACAGAUGGGCCCGCGGCGCAUUAGCUAGUUGGUGAGGUAACGGCUCACCAAGGCGACGAUGCGUAGCCGACCUGAGAGGGUGAUCGGCCACACUGGGACUGAGACACGGCCCAGACUCCUACGGGAGGCAGCAGUAGGGAAUCUUCCGCAAUGGACGAAAGUCUGACGGAGCAACGCCGCGUGAACGAUGAAGGUCUUCGGAUCGUAAAGUUCUGUUGUCAGGGAAGAACAAGUGCCGUGCGAAUAGAGCGGCACCUUGACGGUACCUGACGAGGAAGCCCCGGCUAACUACGUGCCAGCAGCCGCGGUAAUACGUAGGGGGCAAGCGUUGUCCGGAAUUAUUGGGCGUAAAGCGCGCGCAGGCGGUUCCUUAAGUCUGAUGUGAAAGCCCACGGCUCAACCGUGGAGGGUCAUUGGAAACUGGGGAACUUGAGUGCAGAGAAGGAGAGUGGAAUUCCACGUGUAGCGGUGAAAUGCGUAGAUAUGUGGAGGAACACCAGUGGCGAAGGCGACUCUCUGGUCUGUAACUGACGCUGAGGCGCGAAAGCGUGGGGAGCAAACAGAUA
rnacentral:rRNA from 1 species